rnacentral:tRNA from 1 species
GAGUUUGUGGCGUUGGAUAACGCGCCUGACUACGGAUCAGGAGAUUCCAGGUUCGACUCCUGGCAAGCUCG